UGUUAUCAAAAACAUGUCCUUUAGAAGUUAUUGAUUUGAGGUCUAGCCUGCCCAGUGAUGUUUUUAAAUGGCCGCAGUAUUUUGACUGUGCGAAGGUAGCAUAAUCAUUUGUCUCUUAAUUGGAGGCUUGUAUGAAUGGUUGGACGAAGAAUUAACUUUCUUUGCUUAAUUUUUAUGAAUUUGAUUUUUUGGUUAAAAAGCUUAAAUUUUUUUGCAAGACGAGAAGACCCUAUAGAAUUUUAUUAUUUUUGUUUUAUUUAUUUAUUGGUUAAUGAUAAUUAUUUAAUUUAUUAAUAAUUUUGUUGGGGCGACAAUGAAAAUUUCUUAACUUUCAUUUUUAUUGUUUCAUUUAUUAAUGUGUUUUUUGAUCCUGAAUUUUGGAUUAUAAGAUUAAAUUACCUUAGGGAUAACAGCGUAAUUUCUUUGGAGAGUUCUUAUCUAUAAAGGAGUUUGCGACCUCGAUGUUGGAUUAAAGUUAGUUUUUGGUGCAGAAGCUUUAAAACUAAGUCUGUUCGACUUUUAAAUCUUUACGUGAUCUGAGGUCAAA
rnacentral:rRNA from 1 species